rnacentral:rRNA from 1 species
UACGGAGGGUGCAAGCGUUAAUCGGAAUUACUGGGCGUAAAGGGCUCGUAGGUGGCCAACUAAGUCAGACGUGAAAUCCCCAGGCUCAACUUGGGAACUGCGUCUGAUACUGGAUGGCUUGAAUUCGGGAGAGGGAUGCAGAAUUCCAGGUGUAGCGGUGAAAUGCGUAGAUAUCUGGAGGAAUACCGGUGGCGAAGGCGGCAUCCUGGACCGAUAUUGACACUGAGGAGCGAAAGCCAGGGGGGCAAACGGG